AAAAAUUUAGUUAAACUCCCCCAUAACAUUAGCUUGUCAAGCUAAAAUUAUCCAUUAGAUAAUUUUUA
rnacentral:tRNA from 1 species